GUGCUUACUUCGGCAGCACAUAGACAAAAACUGGAAUAAUACAGAAAAGAUUUUAGCAUGGCUCCUGCACAAGGCACAAGGGUGAGUACAGGCUUAUACCAAGAUGCUU